rnacentral:pre_miRNA from 1 species
AAUAGGAGAAUGAUAAGUCGGAUCUUUCCUCCUAAUUUUCAGUCAUUUCCUUCUGAAAAAAUUUAAAUACAACUUAAAAUGCUAAAAAUCAAGAGGAAAAAGUUGAUUUGUUAUUUUCGUAUU